GCCAGGGUAGCUUAGAAAGAGAAAGCUUUGAUUUUGUAAUUCAAGGACGGUUUACUACCCCCUGGUA
rnacentral:tRNA from 1 species